rnacentral:rRNA from 1 species
UACGGAGGGGCUAGCGUUGUUCGGAAUUACUGGGCGUAAGCGCACGUAGGCGGCUUGUCGCGUCGACUGUGAAAACCCGAGGCUCAACUUCGGGCUUGCAGUCGAUACGGGCAGGCUAGAGUUCGGUAGGGGAGACUGGAAUUCCUGGUGUAGCGGUGAAAUGCGCAGAUAUCAGGAGGAACACCGAUGGCGAAGGCGGCUCACUGGCCCGGUACUGACGCUGAGGUGCGAAAGCGUGGGGAGCAAACAGG